GUCCAUGCCGUAAACGUUGGGAACUAGGUGUGGGUCUCAUUCCACGAGAUCCGUGCCGCAGCUAACGCAUUAAGUUCCCCGCCUGGGGAGUACGGCCGCAAGGCUAAACUCAAAGGAAUUGACGGGGCCCGGCACAAGCGGCGGAGCAUGCGGAUUAAUUUGAUGCAACGCGAAGAACCUUACCAAGGCUUGACAUAUACCGGAAACAUUCAGAGAUGGAUGCCCCGCCAAGGUCGGUAUACAGGUGGUGCAUGGUUGUCGU
rnacentral:rRNA from 1 species